AGUGAACGCUGGCGGUAGGCCUAACACAUGCAAGUCGAACGGCAGCACAGUAAGAGCUUGCUCUUACGGGUGGCGAGUGGCGGACGGGUGAGGAAUACAUCGGAAUCUACUUUUUCGUGGGGGAUAACGUAGGGAAACUUACGCUAAUACCGCAUACGACCUACGGGUGAAAGCAGGGGAUCUUCGGACCUUGCGCGAUUGAAUGAGCCGAUGUCGGAUUAGCUAGUUGGCGGGGUAAAGGCCCACCAAGGCGACGAUCCGUAGCUGGUCUGAGAGGAUGAUCAGCCACACUGGAACUGAGACACGGUCCAGACUCCUACGGGAGGCAGCAGUGGGGAAUAUUGAGCAAUGGGCGCAAGCCUGAUCCAGCCAUACCGCGUGGGUGAAGAAGGCCUUCGGGUUGUAAAGCCCUUUUGUUGGGAAAGAAAAGCAGCAGGUUAAUACCCCGCUGUUCUGACGGUACCCAAAGAAUAAGCACCGGCUAACUUCGU
rnacentral:rRNA from 1 species